rnacentral:rRNA from 1 species
UGCGUAGGCGGAUUUAUAAGUCAGUGGUGAAAUCCUACAGCUUAACUGUAGAACUGCCAUUGAUACUGUGGAUCUUGAGUACAAUUGAGGUAGGCGGAAUGUGUGGUGUAGCGGUGAAAUGCUUAGAUAUCACACAGAACACCGAUUGCGAAGGCAGCUUACUAAAUUGAAACUGACGCUGAUGCACGAAAGCAUGGGUAGCAAACAGGAUUAGAUACCCUGGUAGUCC